rnacentral:misc_RNA from 1 species
UUAAGUUCAGCGGGUAUUCCUACCUGAUCCGAGGUCAACUCUGAGAAGUUGGGCGUUUUACGGCGUGACCGUCUCCGCGCUCCGGUGCGAGGUUGUGCUACUACGCAGGGGAGGCUGCGGCGAGGUCGCCACUGCAUUUGGGGGGCGGCCGGGGCCGGUCCCCAACACCAAGCCGGCUGGGGCUUGAGGGUUGAAAUGAC